rnacentral:rRNA from 1 species
GUCUAAGUAUGAACGCUCGUACUGUGAAACUGCGAAUGGCUCAUUAAAUCAGUUAUAGUUUAUUUGAUGGUCGUUUUGCUACAUGGAUAACUGUGGUAAUUCUAGAGCUAAUACAUGCACAAGGUCCCGACUUUUGGGAGGGACGUAUUUAUUAGAUCCAAAACCAGCGCGGGGCUCCUCGUGGGUCCCGGUCCCUGGGCGAUUCAUGAUAACUGUUCGAAUCGCACGGCCUUGGCGCCGGCGAUGGUCCAUUCAAAUUUCUGCCCUAUCAACUUUCGAUGGUACGGUAGUGGCCUACCAUGGUUGCAACGGGUGACGGAGAAUUAGGGUUCGAUUCCGGAGAGGGAGCCUGAGAAACGGCUACCACAUCCAAGGAAGGCAGCAGGCGCGCAAAUUACCCAAUCCCGACUCGGGGAGGUAGUGACAAUAAAUAACAAUGCUGGGCUCUUGUAGUCUGGCAAUUGGAAUGAGUCCAAUCUAAACCCCUUAACGAGGAACAAUUGGAGGGCAAGUCUGGUGCCAGCAGCCGCGGUAAUUCCAGCUCCAAUAGCGUAUAUUAAAGUUGUUGCAGUUAAAAAGCUCGUAGUUGGAUUUCGGGGCAGCCCGGCCGGUCCGCCGCAAGGCGAGUACUGGUCGGGCGCUCUUCCUCUCGAA